UUUUUUUUUUAAGGACUGUGGUUUUGAUUUGUGGCUACCUUUAUAAAAUUGAGCCUCUGAAUUACACUUCACUAAACAGACAUCAUUUGCGGCUUAACUCUGAGUGUGCUGAAGCUUGAAAUGUAGCUUCCGAUUUAUAAUAGCGACAGGACAUGCAGCAAAUGUCAACAAAUCCCCUGUCACCCAGGCAAGGAGGAAAUGUGAGAGGAAAAACUCCAACUGUGUCUGGAAAACUAAAGAUAAAUCUGUUACGUAGAAGACCAUCCAACAGAGUAACAGAAUUCUGAAUUUGAUAGGGCACUUGGAUAGGGAUGAGAAGAGCAGGAAGUUGAGAAGAAGGAAACAAGAAAGGAAUGCAAGAAUGAAGAGAAAUGGAAGCAGAAGAACAGUGUAAUCAAUGUAAGGUUAAGCAGAGAAGAAAAUGAGCCUAAUACAUAUCAGAGAAUGGUGACUGAGUUACUUUGAGAGGAAUUUCAUUGCACUGAAAGAGAAGAUAACAGAACAUAGUGAAGCUCUAAGAGACUUAUUUUAGACCUGAAAGGUCAUAUUUCAGCUGCCAAGAACUUUUUCUCAGUUACUCUGAGCUGUACAAUAUACUGUUCUAUUUCUUGGAGACAAACCAAAGGAUCCCAAAUUAUCAGCAGCCACCUGAUCUGCAGUGCUGGAGACAUGAGAAAUUCAUUAAGAAUUUCAUAAGGUGCCAGUCUCACCAUGUGGCUCUCAAAGACAUGAAUGACUGCAGUGUGGGCAGUGGAAUGAAGAGGAGUAAAAUGGAAAUUUCCAAGUGUCCUAAGGAAGGUGGGAAAGCUGCAAGUGAGCCACAACUGAUGCAAGAUGAAGCUCCAUUUGGAGAGGAAGAAUAUGCUCACAUCAGGGCACUGCUUACUGACAGAUUCAACAUGCAGACUGCAUUUCUGCUGGAUUUGAUAAAAACACAAUUAAAAUUUCGUACAAGGGGGUACGCCAAAUUGGCCUGCAUCCUAGAACCCACUCCAAGCAAAACCUUGGGGAAUAUAUUGUACAAGAAAAGGUCUGUCCCCUGGGAUUACCUCCCACUUCCUUUAACCUGAUAUUUUGCUCAUCCUAUUAUGAGAUUCCUCAGAGGGGUGAAACACUAGAUUGCCUCAUUAAGACUCAUCAUUUACAAGAUGUUGACAAACGCUGGCAUUUAUCCUGUUGUCAUAACAAAUGUGAGAAAAUGACCACUUGGCAAUAAGUGAUUCUAUGCAAUUGCAGGUUGUAAAAUACAAGAAUAUGGGGGUGGGGGGGUGGUCUGUGGAUAAUGUAUUAGUAUCACUAUGUAGCAUCUCUGAACGGUUUCUCAAGGCAUUGUAACAAAUCCAGGCUGAAAUAAAUAAUAAUGGAGAGCUUCUUUUUAUAGCAUUUUCCACAUGUGCAGCCCAAACAUUAAUUAAGAACAGUGAGAGAAUAGUUUUAAACACAACAUAAUAAUGAAACAGUUAUUAUUAUCUUACUGGAUAUCUCAUCACGAAUACCCAGCAUCCAUACUGUCCUUGCUGACAGCUUGAAAACUCUCUGAACUCAGUUUGCCUACAGCUCUCAUCUGCCCUGAGGCUGAGGACAGCAUGGCCUUUCUUAACGAGGGUCAUCUCACCCCCUUGAUGUUAAUGGUAUGUAAGGCCAUCACAGGAGGAGUUCCCACAACAGAGGUUGCUGAGACAGGUUUGGGUGUGAGAGAACUGUUCUGAGUCUAUGCACAAGUGUUUCGAGAAGUGAGUUUUCUUCCUUUGGAAGCACCAACAGUGCAGUCACAAGGUAGUCCUGCAGGCAAAAGUAUAUCUUGGAGACAGAAUCAUCAUCCAUGAAAGCAGACAAAGAUAAAUGUGAAGACAUAAAUGCCUAAAACUGGAUGCAGUCCUUCUCCUUAAAGCUACUUUUAGGAGCUCUCUGUUUAGCUGAAGGACCUUGAAUCCUGUGAGUACUUCGGUCUUCUCAGGUGUCCAGGUUCUGCUUCUGAAUAUGCGUCUCAAUUUUGACCAUUU